rnacentral:rRNA from 1 species
AACGAACGCUGGCGGCAUGCCUAACACAUGCAAGUCGAACGAGACCUUCGGGGCUAGUGGCGCACGGGUGCGUAACGCGUGGGAACCUGCCCUAGGGUUGGAAUAACUCCCCGAAAGGGGUGCUAAUACCGGAUAAAGUCUUCCGACCAAAGAUUUAUUGCCUUUGGAUGGGCCCGCGUUGGAUUAGCCAUUUGGUAGGGUAAAAGCCUAACAAGGGGACGAUCCAUUGCUGGUCUGAGAGGAUGAUCAGGCACACUGGGACUGAGACACGGCCCAGACUCCUACGGGAGGCAGCAGUGGGGAAGAAUGGACAAUGGGCGAAAGCCUGAUCCAGCAAUGCCGCGUGAGUGAUGAAGUCCUUAGGAUUGUAAAGCUCUUUUACCCGGGAUGAUAAUGACAGAACCGGGAGAAUAAGCUCCGGCUAACUCCUG